UGGGGAAUAUUGGACAAUGGGCGAAAGCCUGAUCCAGCCAUGCCGCGUGUGUGAAGAAGGUCUUCGGAUUGUAAAGCACUUUAAGUUGGGAGGAAGGGCAGUAAGCGAAUACCUUGCUGUUUUGACGUUACCGACAGAAUAAGCACCGGCUAACUCUGUGCCAGCAGCCGCGGUAAUACAGAGGGUGCAAGCGUUAAUCGGAAUUACUGGGCGUAAAGCGCGCGUAGGUGGUUCGUUAAGUUGAAGGUGAAAGCCCCGGGCUCAACCUGGGAACUGCAUCCAAAACUGGCGAGCUAGAGUAGGGCAGAGGGUGGUGGAAUUUCCUGUGUAGCGGUGAAAUGCGUAGAUAUAGGAAGGAACACCAGUGGCGAAGGCGACCACCUGGGCUCAUACUGACACUGAGGUGCGAAAGCGUGGGGAGCAAACAGG
rnacentral:rRNA from 1 species